rnacentral:misc_RNA from 1 species
AAGUCGUAACAAGGUUUCCGUAGGUGAACCUGCGGAAGGAUCAUUAACACGUAUCCAACGUUAAAACCCCCCGUGCAUAUUAACGCUGCUCUCCUGCACCUCUAUGAAGCAAUCUCUGGUAAAUCACUCACGAAGACAGUUUGAUUCAGAGACCUCUUCAAUGGCGUGAGAGGAUAGAGGCGGCUUGUAAUUGGACCUGGUUUCUUCCGCAAGGAUGUAUAGUCUGAAUAACAGAUCGUUGGUGCAUCACGCUGCAACGGACAGGUCCCUGGGGGCUUCGGCUCCCCCUAAAUAUUUAACCCCAGCAUGUGAAUUCAGGGAAUCUGUUAACACAGAACCCAUUUAAAAAAACGAACAACUGUUAACAAUGGAUAUCUUGGUUCUC